rnacentral:rRNA from 1 species
GAUGAACGCUGGCGGCGUGCCUAAUACAUGCAAGUCGAGCGAACAGAUAAGGAGCUUGCUCCUUUGACGUUAGCGGCGGACGGGUGAGUAACACGUGGAUAACCUACCUAUAAGACUGGGAUAACUUCGGGAAACCGGAGCUAAUACCGGAUAACAUAUUGAACCGCAUGGUGCAAUAGUGAAAGGCGGCUUUGCUGUCACUUAUAGAUGGAUCCGCGCCGUAUUAGCUAGUUGGUAAGGUAACGGCUUACCAAGGCAACGAUCCGUAGCCGACCUGAGAGGGUGAUCGGCCACACUGGAACUGAGACACGGUCCAGACUCCUACGGGAGGCAGCAGUAGGGAAUCUUCCGCAAUGGGCGAAAGCCUGACGGAGCAACGCCGCGUGAGUGAUGAAGGUCUUCGGAUCGUAAAACUCUGUUAUCAGGGAAGAACAAAUGUGUAAGUAACUGUGCACAUCUUGACGGUACCUGAUCAGAAAGCCACGGCUAACUACGUG